CCGGAAGGCAAUAUGUUAUGGGCCGGAAGGCGAUAUGUUGUGUGAUGGACCGGAAGGUCGGCGUGGGUAGGACCGGAAGGUUUACCCAGCAGGGACGGAAGUCCCCUGAGACACAUGGACCGAAAGGUCAGGGCCUGGAAAGGCGUAUGUGCGUAAGUUGUAUAUUGGGGAACUCACUAAGCAUUUAUGCUUACAGUUGUUAUGUAUGUGUUUCAGGUACUAGCGAGGACCGUGGGAAGGUGCCGACGUGAUCUGUACACACUAAAGGAUGUUUGUGAUCUUGGGAUUUAGAUGACUUGUAUUUUUGACAUGACACUUGAAAUGUUUAUGCCUUGUUUUGAAUUAAAAUAACUUAUUAUGAAAUGAAAAAUUUGUUUGAAAAUUUACGGUGUUACAUGUGCUUUCCGUCUCAUUUCCUGUUCCUUGUUUGGUUGUGGGAUUAGGGCAGAUUUACACAAUUAACUAUUCGUUCGAUAUUAGUUAAGAUAUAGCUAGUAUAAAUUAAGUGAAUAUAGAAGGAACUAUUGUGGUUACUAUUUUUACUAAAUGAAAUAUAUGAUUUUCUUAAGGAAUGUUUUCAUCAAAUAUAAAGAACUAUUACAGUUAAUUCCGUAAGUGCCAAAUGAAUCCACCAGGGUUAUAUACAGUGAAGAUCUAACAAACACUGGGAUGUGUGAUUUCCGCCACAUUCGCUGUUCCUUGUUUGGUUGUGGGCUUAGGGCAGCUUCACCCAAUCGAUUGUUUGUUUACUGUAAAUUAUAUAUAACUUGUAUCCAUUUAGUACUCAUAGAAGGAAUUGUAGAGUCAUUUUUACUUUCAAUCAUCAUAUCAGAAGAUAUAGGAUUUUCUGAAGGAAUAGGCGAACUUUUCUAAAAAGAACUUUUAGUUUACUUUACAUCACUAAAAUACUUGCCUCUCUACUUUUUACUCUGUGUUAAGCAUACCGAGACCACCCCGUCGCCCUGGUUAAGCAUACCGAGACCACCCCGCGUGAAGCUCAUUUAUUCACUAGAAACCCGUGGUUACGUCAAGAAAGAUCAUUCCUAGAAACGAAACGCUACCCAAUUCACUCUUACCAAGUGAGUUCAUACCCCUAACUUAUCUUUUAAAUGAUUUUAAAUGCUUUUAUGGAGGGGGGAUACAAGUAGAAAACCAUAUAGUCGUAUAAUCAAUCACAUGUGAUUUAUAACUAUCGAAACAAAAGAUUUCUUAUACAUGAGUCACUUCAGAACAUACUAUUAUGAGAAACAGGGAGGAACAUACUAUACAUUACAACAGAAGGAACAUACGAUAGAAAGAAUAAGAUAGCAAUAAUGUGAAACCACUACUUCACGACUUAGAAAUAUACUUGUUAGGUUGCGUUUUAUAACCAGAGUCUCCUGGAGGGAGAGCAUGAGUUUAUGUAUAGAUCUAUACGGGAUUGACACCCUACACCUUGCUGCUAGCUACAGUGGGACUUACAGGUCUACGGGUGACAAACAUCACAUCAGUUUCGGCACAAGUAGGUCGUCGUGUUAAACACGUGUCAUAUCAGUAUGGUUACAACCACAUCACAUUUUUAACCUUAAUUAACAAACUAGUUUUAAGGUAGUAAUUGCUUCAGUAAUUACUUGAGAGAACUUACAUAAUUACAAAAGACAAACAGUACGGUCGAGUCUUAGUACAUUCAGUAAAAAGGGGGCAUACAAUGCUAACUUUAAUGAUUCCUCGGUAGAUACAUUAGGGAUAUAUAUAUAGUCGGGUCCAGUCGACAGUAGGAUGUGUGUUUUCCGCUUCAUUCUCUGUUCCUUGUUUGGUUGUGGGCUUACAGCAGAUGCACCCAAUUUACUAUCUAUUCGAUCUUAUAUAUAUAUAUAUAUAUAUAUANGGAAGGCGAUAUGUUGUGUGAUGGACCGGAAGGUCGGCGUGGGUAGGACCGGAAGGUUUACCCAGCAGGGACGGAAGUCCCCUGAGACACAUGGACCGGAAGGUCAGGGCCUGGAAAGGCGUAUGUGCGUAAGUUGUAUAUUGGGGAACUCACUAAGCAUUUAUGCUUACAGUUGUUAUGUAUGUGUUUCAGGUACUAGCGAGGACCGUGGGAAGGUGCCGACGUGAUCUGUACACACUAAAGGAUGUUUGUGAUCUUGGGAUUUAGAUGACUUGUAUUUUUGACAUGACACUUGAAAUGUUUAUGCCUUGUUUUGAAUGAAAA
rnacentral:lncRNA from 1 species